rnacentral:rRNA from 1 species
AGGACGAACGCUGGCGGCGUGCUUAACACAUGCAAGUCGAGCGGUGAUCCUCCUUCGGGAGGUGAGCAGCGGCGAACGGGUGAGUAACACGUGGGCAACCUGCCCCUCACACUGGGAUAACCUCGGGAAACCGGGGCUAAUACCGGAUAUGACCUCGAGCGGCAUCUCUUGAGGUGGAAAGCUCCGACGGUGAGGGAUGGGCCCGCGGCCUAUCAGCUUGUUGGUGGGUAAUGGCCUACCAAGGCGACGACGGGUAGCCGGCCUGAGAGGGCGACCGGCCACACUGGGACUGAGACACGGCCCAGACUCCUACGGGAGGCAGCAGUGGGGAAUAUUGCGCAAUGGGCGAAAGCCUGACGCAGCGACGCCGCGUGAGGGAUGAAGGCCUUCGGGUUGUAAACCGUCUUUCAGCAGGGACGAAGCGAAAGUGACGGUACCUGCAGAAGAAGCACCGGCUAACUACGCGCCAGCAGCCGCGAA